CCGCCGCCGCCGAGCCUACCAUUUCCAAUUCCGCUGAGGCGCGAGCACGCAAGCAGUGAACAGGCCGGUCCGACACGUAACGGGGCCCACAGUUACUGCUCCGCCGCACCGCGAUUCAAACUGCGCUGUCUCCCGCCUUCCCCGCUGCCUUUAUACUGCAGAAUGUUCCCUCAUCCGGGAACUCGGGCUGUUCGUCCCACCAAUGGCCGCUGCCCGCCCUCAGGACUCCUCAGCCUAUGAGCAGGGGAGAGACAAGGCGGAGGGGCGGGCACUCCCGAACUCGAGCUGCGAUUGGCGGUGGGUAGCGAGUGGGGGAAGGCGACGGCUGGGAACCGGGAGCUAAGGGCUGGCAGCGGGCGGGGAGGCGCGCGAGGGCGGCGCGGUCACGNNNNNNNNNNNNNNNNNNNNNCAGUCCCCGUCGUCCCCGCGCCCCGCGCAGUGACGCCGACAGGUGCCGUGUCGUCUGGAGCCCGACGUCCAGGGCUGCGCCCAAGCCUUCUGUCUGAGCCGAUUUAGGAGAACGCAGAGCUUCAGCCGUCAGGCUACGUGAUGGUCAGCGGUGCGGGUCGUGGGUCGGGCCCGGUGUGCUGCUCAUGGUGCACGUAUUUCGGCCAGCGUGGUGCUGGGUGCUGUGCACAGUCCUCCCGACCCCAACACCGUGCUGGGUGCUGCGCACGUUGCCCUGUCUUCUGGCCAACACCGUGGGUGCUGCGCCCGGUCCCCCGUCCAACACCGUGCUGGGUGCUGUGCACAGUCCUUGUGUCUUUCGGCCAACAUCGUUGGUGCUGCGUACAGUUCCGUCCUCUGGGCGACAUCGUACACAGUGGAACGGCCACCAGGCUUCAGGUUGAGUGUCAGUUGGAGAGGAUUUGUCAGGCCACGGGACUUCUGCCUUCCUGAAAUAUCUGGCCUUGGCCCAGGAUUUGGCUCCGUGGUUCCACUGCCUGCAAGCAGCAAGGUCCUGUGUACCAAAAAAAACCAAAACCAAAAACAAAAAAAACAAAACAAAACUUGACAAAUACUGGGCCUGAAACUUGCUGUAAGGAUGCUAAACCAAGUCAUUUGGUAUUGGAACUAAAAUCCAAGAUUGGUUCAUUUACACUGAGUAGUUUUCCUUCUUUUUCAGAGAUCAAGACAAUAUCAGUUUCUCCUCUUUUUACAACAGUUGUGUGAUGAUUUCAUCUACUUUCUUUCCUGCUCUGGAAAAGGCAGUAUUGCAUAUGUGCUAAUACUUGGCUUAUCUUUCCUGUACUUGUGUUUUUGAUAAUACAUGUAUGUGUGUUUACGAAAUAUACCUAGCCAAAACUAUGUAAUUGUUUCUAUUCAAUGCCAUAUCAAGUAAUUCCUUGAUCUUGAUUCUUUUCACCUAGGACAUCUAGGGGAAUAUGGCUUUCAAGGUCUUAUUCACCUGUCAGUUACUAAGCACCAAAGUGGCUGGUUGUCUUAAUUACUUUUCUCCUUGCUGAAACAAAAUACUGGACACCCAAAGUUAAAAGGAAAGGCUUAUUGUAGCUUGUGGUUUAUAGAGGUUUCAGUCUGUAGUCAACUGGCUCCAAGACAUAACAAAGGGGACAUUGCAGAAGAGAAAUAUCCCAUGGUAUGGCAAGUAGAAGGCAGCAUGCAGCAGCAAGCAGCCAGCCUUGCUUUCCCUUUGAUCCCAUCCAGACUCCAGCCUUUGGUGCCACUUAGAACUCUGUUAAUUCCAAUCAGUGGACUGAUUUAGUGUCAUACACCCUUAAUCCCAGGAUCACACGCCCUAGAUCCAGCCAGUUGUGAAGCGCUCUGUCUCUGAGCACGUGAGGCUUUGAGGAGACAUUUAGAUACAAGCCUUAACAGUGGUAUAAUACCAAAUACUGCCUAGAGUAAGAGUUGGGAUUGAGUCUGGGAAGCCCAUCACAAAGUCUGUGGACUGAAGUGAAGUGACUGAGCCAUAGAUGCUUCAUCUGUUAAACAGGGAUCUGUGGCACCAGAUAAACCAACGUUACCUAACUGUAAAAGCGAUUCAUGCAGUGAGAAGAAUACAGAGUGAUAUAUACAUGGUACAGUGGCCAUGCUGUCCUCACAUUCUUCAGAUAAAUAUGACUGUUAAGUGAAGCCUGUGCGUUUACUUGCAACCUAUGCAUUUAAACCAAGGCCAUGGGCUUGAAUUCCAUUUGCACCUCCCAUGCCCACAGGUUACAUCCACAAUUAAAAAACGGCGUAGGUUACAAAGAGAAUCAGUAGAAUCCACUGUCAUUUCAGGAAAAAUAAUUCAAAGAUCAUGGGGCCCAAUAUCUUUUUUAUUAUACUACUAACUUUUUUUAUACUUAAGAGUCCUCAGAAUUUUUGGAAAUUUACUGUUCUGAAAUUAAACAAUGAAGGAUUUUUUCUUGUCAUUUCCUUCCAUUGUCUAUUAUUGACCAACAUUAAUCUUAAUCUUUAGGAUGUUUAGAAUAAGGGAAGGAAGUUGUGUUGGUUGUCCAAAAUGCCCCCCUCCAAAAGGCUCAUUCUGUUAAAUGCCUGUGAUGGGCUUUCGAGAAGUGACUGGACCAUGCGGACGCCAAUGGCAUCCGUGGUUUAACCGUUGGUGGGGCCGUAAUUUGGUGAUGUACUGGGAGGCGACAGAGACAGGAGGGAGGGCCUCAUUGAAGGAAGAGCUGGGGACAUAAACUCUGACACAGUACCUGGUCCUAGGCCCCUUCCUCUGUCUCUUUCCCCCCUCUGUGCUUCCUGGCUGCCAUGAACUGAGUGGCUUUGCUCCAUAUCCCACACAGCCGUGAACCAGCCCCCCAUGGACAGAACCUCUGAAACUGUGAGCCAAAAGCUCUCUUUCCUCUUUUACAUUUUUUUUCUUAAUUGGUCACAUUGAUUAGUACUAAAGUCUAUGCAUUGAUACUGUUUUCCUAAAGAAGGUUUUACUUAGUAUAACUCCUUAUCUCGCCAGCUAACUUGUAAAUUCACACCUAAAGUACUGUCCCUUUAAAUUCACACCUAAAGUACUGUCCCCACCACAUUUCUUUUUUUUUUCUUUUUAUUGAGGUUAUUGGUACAAUCUAGGUAUACAAUACAAUUACAUUCAUCAUUGGGAUUCUGUACCUUUACAUAAUAGGUCUUGAUUCUCAUUUUUCCCCUUGUCCCUGCCCUCCCUUCACCCCCUCCUCCCCUCCCCAUUUACAAACACUUUAUUUCCAUUUUUUCACUUUCUCAUAUUGUUUUCCUUUCCCUUAUUAACUUUCCCCCACCCUUCCCACUUUCCUUAUACCUUUAGCCCUUUACUUCCUAUUUCACAUUAUUGUCUCAUUAGGAUCCUGUGUACUAUUAUAGUUUUUCACACCAAAGAAAUUAUUCGGUAUUUCAGUUAAAGAAAUCUCUCUAUGAACAUUAAAAAUAGGGAAUCCUAAAAUAAAACUAAAAAGGAAAGUAAAAGAGAAAAGGCAAUGAUGUAACAUCAAAAUAAUCCUUAAUUCUGGAGAUGAGAAUGGUCCCUGAACAUAUUUCAGUUGCUUCUUGCUCUUACAGUCUUAUUCUUUUUUCACUAUUUAGAGAAUACUUUAUUAGUUUCUGUAAUCAAACCCAUGUAGAUAUGACCUUACAUAUUUAGUAUGAUGUGUUACCCCUGUACACAUGGAAAAAAUAAAAAUAAAAAUAAAAAUAAAUGAACAUUUCUAGACCAAUAUGGUUGUCCAUUUCUGUACAAUGCCAAGUCAACACAGUAAAUUGGGAUGACUUUUUCCAAAGUUGGCAGCGCCGUUAAAGUUUCCCAAAAUUCAAUUUAUAUAUAUAUAUGUGUAUAUAUAUAUAUAUUUAUAUAUAUAUAAAGACUAAUAAUAGUAUGUUAUGCAUCGAUAGCGGCAACAGCUUUUCCAGGUUCUGCAGUCAUCUGAACAAAAUUAUGGACAUUCAACACAUUCCAUUAAAAACAAAAAAAAACAAAAAAAAACAAAGAAAAGAAUAAUAUCCAGACAACAGCAAAGUUCUGUUGCUGUUGUGGUACCUGGCACCAUUUUUUCUAUUAGCCUCUUAAUCAUCAUCUGGAAAGAGAACAUUCUAGAGUAAUAUCAUUAAAUGUAGCUCUGAUAAAGCACGGUCCCUACUAUGUAUCAUAAAGCAGGUACUAGAUAUUUUACAUUCAUAGAGGUAUGAUACAGUACUGUCCUACAUCAAUAAUACUAGAUUCAGUUUUGGUUUGAAAUUUACUUUGUCUGCAAAUAAGAUUGCUACCCCUGUUUUUUUCUGGGCUCCUGUCACAUGGAGAAUUGUUUUCUAUCUUUUCA
rnacentral:lncRNA from 1 species